AGAAAAUACUACAACUUUCGCGGCUUUAGAGGCAACCUUCUGGUGUUUGUGUGCAAGGCUAGGGUUCAAGUUUGUUCAGAAGUUGCACAAGAUCUAGGAGGAUGUCGACAACAAGCAGUGCCCAGAGUUUGGUUGACGUCAGCGGAAAGGCG